UACGUAGGGGGCAAGCGUUGUCCGGAUUUAUUGGGCGUAAAGCGCGUGUAGGCGGCCAUGUAGGUCUGCUGUGAAAACUCGAGGCUUAACCUCGAGCUGUCGGCGGAAACCAUCUGGCUAGAGUCCGGGAGAGGAGAAUGGAAUUCCCGGUGUAGCGGCGAAAUGCGCAGAUAUCGGGAAGAACACCCGUGGCGAAGGCGGUUCUCUGGGACGGUACUGACGCUGAGGCGCGAAAGCGUGGGGAGCGAACAGG
rnacentral:rRNA from 1 species